rnacentral:rRNA from 1 species
AGUAAUGUGAAUUGCAGAAUUCAGUGAAUCAUCGAAUCUUUGAACGCACCUUGCGCUCCUUGGUAUUCCUUGGAGCAUGCCUGUUUGAGUAUCAUGAAAUCUUCAAAGUAGAUCUUUUGUUAACUCAAUUGGUUUCUACUUUGGUAUUGGAGGCCAUUGCAGCUUCACACCUGCUCCUCUUUGUUCAUUAGCUGGAUCUCAGUGUUAUGCUUGGUUCCACUCAGCGUGAUAAGUUAUCUAUCGCUGAGGACACUGUAAAAGGUGGCUAAGGUAAAUGCAGAUGAACCGCUUCUAAUAGUCCAUUGACUUGGACAAUAAAUUAAUUUUUAUGAUCUGAUCUCAAAUCAGGUAGGACUACCCGCUGAACUUAAGCAUAUCAAUAAGCGGAGGAAAAGAAACU